UACGUAGGGGGCAAGCGUUGUCCGGAUUUAUUGGGCGUAAAGAGCGUGUAGGCGGCUAGGUAGGUCCGUUGUGAAAACUCGAGGCUCAACCUCGAGACGUCGAUGGAAGCCAUCCAGCUAGAGUCCGGAAGAGGAGAGUGGAAUUCCUGGUGUAGCGGUGAAAUGCGCAGAUAUCAGGAGGAACACCGGUGGCGAAGGCGGGUCUCUGGGCAGUAACUGACGCUGAGGAGCGAAAGCGUGGGGAGCGAACAGG
rnacentral:rRNA from 1 species